rnacentral:rRNA from 1 species
UAAACCUCUUUUCUCGGGGAAGAGCACAAUGACGGUACCUGAGGAAUAAGCAUCGGCUAACUCCGUGCCAGCAGCCGCGGUAAUACUGAGGAUGCAAGCGUUAUCCGGAAUGAUUGGGCGUAAAGCGUCCGCAGGUGGCAAUGUAAGUCUGCUGUUAAAGAGUCUAGCUCAACUAGAUAAAAGCAGUGGAAACUACAUAGCUAGAGUAUGGUCGGGGCAGAAGGAAUUCCUGGUGUAGCGGUGAAAUGCGUAGAUAUCAGGAAGAACACCGGUGGCGAAAGCGUUCUGCUAGGCCGAGACUGACACUGAGGGACGAAAGCUAGGGGAGCGAAUGGGAUUAGAUACCCCAGUA